rnacentral:rRNA from 1 species
AAUUUUUGACAAUGGGGGAAACCCUGAUCCAGCCACCCCGCGUGUGCGAUGAAGGCCUUCGGGUUGUAAAGCACUUUUGUUAGGGAAGAAAAGGUUCCGGCUAAUACCCGGAACUGAUGACGGUACCUGAAGAAUAAGCACCGGCUAACUACGUGCCAGCAGCCGCGGUAAGACGUAGGGUGCAAGCGUUAACCGGGAUUCUUGGGGGUAAAGCGUGCGCAGGCGGGUCGGAAAGAAGGAUGUGAAAUCCCAGGGCUCAACCUUGGAACUGCAUUCUUAACUACCGAACUAGGGUAUGUCAGAGGGGGGUAGAAUUCCGCGUGUAGCAGUGAAAUGCGUAGAUAUGCAGAGGAAUACCGAUGGGGAAGGCAGCCCCCUGGGAUAAUACUGACACUCAUGCACGCAAGCGUGGGUAGCAAACAGG